rnacentral:rRNA from 1 species
CCUACGGGAGGCAGCAGUGAGGAAUAUUGGUCAAUGGGCGGGAGCCUGAACCAGCCAAGCCGCGUGAGGGAAGAAGGUACAGCGUAUCGUAAACCUCUUUUGUCAGGGAACAAAGGCGGGGACUAGUCCCCGGAUGAGGGUACCUGAAGAAAAAGCAUCGGCUAACUCCGUGCCAGCAGCCGCGGUAAUACGGAGGAUGCGAGCGUUAUCCGGAUUUAUUGGGUUUAAAGGGUGCGCAGGCGGCCUGUUAAGUCAGCGGUAAAAGCCCGGGGCUCAACCCCGGCGAGCCGUUGAAACUGGCGGGCUGGAGUUGGAGAGAAGUACGCGGAAUGCGCGGUGUAGCGGUGAAAUGCAUAGAUAUCACGAGGAACCCCGAUUGCGAAGGCAGCCUGCCGGGGUGCGACUGACGCUGAGGCUCGAAGGUGCGGGUAUCAAACAGGAUUAGAUACCCUUGUAGUC